CUGCCUCGAAGCGCACAGAUUCUCUUCUCAGCGCCCCAUGGCUGCUGGGGGGUGGGGAAGGGGUGGCAUCAGCAAUUCAAGAUUGUCUUUCCUACCCUCUUCCAUGCCUCUUUCAGUGAUAGGAAGUUAAAGCCAGCCUUGGAGAGAAAACACAGGGAACACUGCUCUAGCCUUUCCCAAUCACAGGCAACUUCAUGUGUGUCAUUAUAACCAAGACCACCAAAGUUACUUUCCUCAAGAACAAUAAUGUAGCUCAACCUGAGCUAUUUCCAUAUUAACGAGAUGUCAAGAUGUCAGUGAAGGAGACACACGGGCCUCAGCCUCUCUCCCCCUGUCGACAGCAAGAAAGUUCGGUAUUCGGAU